rnacentral:rRNA from 1 species
UACGUAGGUGGCGAGCGUUGUCCGGAUUUACUGGGCGUAAAGAGCGCGCAGGCGGUCGUGCAAGUCGCGUGUGAAAGCCCCCGGCUCAACUGGGGAGGGUCACGCGAUACUGCUCGACUUGAAGGCAGGAGAGGGAAGUGGAAUUCCAGGUGUAGCGGUGAAAUGCGUAGAUAUCUGGAGGAACACCGGUGGCGAAGGCGGCAUCCUGGACCGGUAUUGACGCUGAGGCGCGAAAGCUAGGGGAGCAAACGGG